UGAGGAAUAUUGGUCAAUGGUCUGACGACUGAACCAGCCAUGCCGCGUGAAGGUCACGGCCCUAUGGGUCUUAAACUUCUUUUGUUAGGGAGCAAUAAGGUCUACGUGUAGAUUGAUGAGAGUACCUAACGAAUAAGCAUCGGCUAACUCCGUGCCAGCAGCCGCGGUAAUACGGGGGAUGCAAGCGUUAUCCGGAUUUAUUGGGUUUAAAGGGUGCGUAGGCGGCAUUGUAAGUCAGCGGUGAAAUUUCGGAGCUCAACUUCGAACGUGCCGUUGAUACUGCAGUGCUUGAAUGCGGAUGCCGUGGGAGGAAUGUGUGGUGUAGCGGUGAAAUGCAUAGAUAUCACACAGAACACCGAUUGCGAAGGCAUCUCACGAAUCCGCUAUUGACGCUGAGGCACGAAAGCGUGGGGAUCAAACAGG
rnacentral:rRNA from 2 species